GAUGAACGCUGGCGGCGUGCCUAAUACAUGCAAGUCGAGCGAACAGACGAGGAGCUUGCUCCUCUGACGUUAGCGGCGGACGGGUGAGUAACACGUGGAUAACCUACCUAUAAGACUGGGAUAACUUCGGGAAACCGGAGCUAAUACCGGAUAAUAUAUUGAACCGCAUGGUUCAAUAGUGAAAGACGGUUUUGCUGUCACUUAUAGAUGGAUCCGCGCCGCGUUAGCUAGUUGGUAAGGUAACGGCUUACCAAGGCAACGAUGCGUAGCCGACCUGAGAGGGUGAUCGGCCACACUGGAACUGAGACACGGUCCCGACUCCUACGGGAGGCAGCAGUAGGGAAUCUUCCGCGAUGGGCGAAAGCCUGACGGAGCAACGCCGCGUGAGUGAUGAAGGUCUUCGGAUCGUAAAACUCUGUUAUUAGGGAAGAACAAAUGUGUAAGUAACUAUGCACGUCUUGACGGUACCUAAUCAGAAAGCCACGGCUAACUACGUG
rnacentral:rRNA from 1 species